rnacentral:rRNA from 1 species
GACGAACGCUGGCGGCGUGCUUAACACAUGCAAGUCGAACGAUGAAGCCGGAGCUUGCUCUGGUGAAUUAGUGGCGAACGGGUGAGUAACACGUGAGUAACCUGCCCUUGACUCUGGGAUAACUGCGGGAAACUGUAGCUAAUACCGGAUACGACCCUCGGAGGCAUCUCCUGGGGGUGGAAAGAAUUUCGGUCAAGGAUGGACUCGCGGCCUAUCAGCUAGUUGGUGAGGUAAAGGCUCACCAAGGCGACGACGGGUAGCCGGGCGGAGAGGGUGAGCGGCCACACGGGGACUGAGACACGGCCCAGAGUCCUACGGGAGGCAGCAGUGGGGAAUAUUGCACAAUGGGCGCAAGCCUGAUGCAGCAACGCCGCGUGAGGGAUGACGGCCUUCGGGUUGUAAACCUCUUUUAGCAGGGAAGAAGCGUAAGUGACGGUACCUGCAGAAAAAGCACCGGCUAACUACGUGCCAGCCGCCGCCGUAA